rnacentral:tRNA from 1 species
AGAGCACAGCACUCAUAAUGCUGGGGUCACAGGUUCGAUUCCCGUCGUAGCCACCAUCUUUUGGGGUAUCGCCA